GGGCCGCUAGCUCAGGUGGUAGAGCACCGGCCUUUUAAGCCGAGGGUCACAGGUUCGAGUCCUGUGCGGCCCACC
rnacentral:tRNA from 1 species